rnacentral:rRNA from 1 species
UUAAAAAUUUUAUUCUAAAAAAUUUUUAAAAAAAUAGGUAAAGGUGUAGACCACAAUUAAGUUAAAAUGGAUUACAAUAAAUUCUAUUUAAGGAUUUGAUUAUAAUAUAUCUCUAAAAGGGGAUUUAAAAGUAAAUUUUUAAUAAUAUUUUAUUUUGAAUAAGAUAAUAAAUGUGCACAUAUCGCCCGUCACCCUUAUCCCAAGAUAAGGUAAGUCGUAACAUAGUUGAUGUUCUAGAAAGAGUAUCAAGAUUUAUUAAGCUUUUAGCAUUUCAUUUACACUGAAAAGAAUCUUUAUUUAUAAAAAAAUUUUUUAUAUAAAAAAUAUUUAUUGUAUAAAUUUUAUGUAAUUACAAAAAUUAACUGAAAAGGAAUAAAUAAAAAUUUUAAAAGAAAUCUUAUGUUCCUUUUGUAUCAGGAAUGAACAAAAAAAUUUAUAUAUAAUAAAUAUCCUGAAAUAAAAAGAUCUAUCAUUUUAAUUAAAUAAUGUAACAUAAUUAUUAUAAUAAAAUUAUAGAAACUAAACAUUAAACGUUUUUUAUAAUAUCCGGUAUUCUUUUAAUAGGAAACCUUUUAAAAAGAUCUAAAAUAUAAUUUUUGGGUCAAAUUUUUUUUUAAUCUUACUAAUUAAUAAGAAUUAAAGUAUCUAAAAUGUUUAAAAACAAGUCACCUAAUAAUUUCUAAUCUUAAUAUGAGAAUAAAUUUUUAAAAAUUAAUAAUGUUUGUAUUAGUAAAUAAAUUAUCUUAAAAAUAAGAAUUCAGCCCAAAUUAAAUGACUGUUUAUCAAAAACAUUGCUUAAAUAAUUACUUUAAGUAAAAUCUGCUCCAUGUAAAAUAAAUAGCCGCAGGAUACCCUGUGCUAAGGUAGCAUAAUCAUUAACCUUCUAAUUAAAGGCUGGAAUGAACGAUUUUACACUUUAAUUAUUUUUUUUUUUUAAAUUAUUAAAAUUAUAUUAAAUAUAAAAAUGUAUUUAUAAAAUAAAAAGACGAUAAGACCCUAUUGAACUUUACUAAAGUUUAGCUGGGGAAGCUAAUUAAAAACAAUUUUAAUUCAAAUAGAAAAAAGAAUCCAAUAAAAUUGAUUAUAAUAAGUUACCAUAGGGAUAACAGCGUAAUGUUUUUAAAAAGCUCUUAUUAAAAAAAAAGAUUGCGACCUCGAUGUUGAAUUAAAAUUACUCUAAGACGCAACUGUAUUAGAAGUAAGUCUGUUCGACUUUUAAAUAUUUACAUGAUUUGAGUUCAAAUCGGCGUAAGCCAGAUUGGUUUCUAUCUUUUAAAAAAUUUUGUUUAGUACGAAAGGACCAAUAAAGUUAUUUUAAAUUUCUUAAUAGCAAACAAAUGCAUUAGAAUUAGAAUCUAAUAAUAUACUAAUAACAACUGUA